CUACGGGGGGCACCAGUGGGGAAUAUUGCACAAUGGGCGCAAGCCUGAUGCAGCAACGCCGCGUGAGGGAUGAAGGCCUUCGGGUUGUAAACCUCUUUUAGCAGGGAAGAAGCGAAAGUGACGGUACCUGCAGAAAAAGCACCGGCUAACUACGUGCCAGCAGCCGCGGUAAUACGUAGGGUGCAAGCGUUGUCCGGAAUUAUUGGGCGUAAAGAGCUCGUCGGCGGUUUGUCACGUCUGCUGUGAAAAGCCAAGGCUCAACCUUGGACUUGCAGUGGGUACGGGCAGGCUAGAGUGCGGUAGGGGAGAUGGGAAUUCCUGGUGUAGCGGUGGAAUGCGCAGAUAUCAGGAGGAACACCAAUGGCGAAGGCACAUCUCUGGGCCGUAACUGACGCUGAGGAGCGAAAGCGUGGGGAGCGAACAGGAUUAGAUACCCCCGUAGUC
rnacentral:rRNA from 1 species